UACGAAGGGAGCUAGCGUUGUUCGGAAUCACUGGGCGUAAAGCGCACGCAGGUGGCACGGCAGGUAGGGCAUGAAAACUCCCGGCUUAACUGGGAGACGCUGUCCUAAACCGCCGGGCUUGAGGGUGAGAGAGGGAAGUGGAAUUGCCGGUGUAGUGGUGAAAUGCGUAGAGAUCGGCAGGAACACCAGUGGCGAAAGCGGCUUCCUGGCUCACUUCUGACACUCAUGUGCGAAAGCUAGGGGAGCGAACGGG
rnacentral:rRNA from 1 species